rnacentral:tRNA from 1 species
GUACCGGAAGGUGUGGCUGGAUCACCUCCUUUUAGGGAGACCAUCUGAUAGUCGACCGAACCUAAACAAUAGGUCGUUGUCAGUCAUCCCUGGUCGUUCGAGGAAUAGAUGUCAAAGCUUUCAAACUAUUAACUGGUUCGGAACUCGCGGGCUAUUAGCUCAGUUGGUUAGAGCGCACCCCUGAUAAGGGUGAGGUCCCUGGUUCAAAUCCAGGAUGGCCCACCUGGAAAAAAAGUGAUGAAUUGUCAGUAAUGAGUAAUGGAUAAUCUUAGAUUAAUUCAGGAUUAAUUCAAGACUCAUACCAUCAAAAUCAGAACUUGCUUAGUGGGGGUAUAGCUCAGUUGGUAGAGCGCCUGCCUUGCACGCAGGAAGUCAGCGGUUCGAGUCCGCUUACCUCCACUCUCACUAACUAGAACCAACAAAAAAAAACACAAGAAAUAG